UACAGGGGGGGCAAGCGUUGUUCGGAAUUACUGGGCGUAAAGGGCUCGUAGGCGGCCAACUAAGUCCGACGUGAAAUCCCAAGGCUUAACCUUGGAACUGCGUCGGAUACUGGUUGGCUUGGAUUUGGGAGAGGGAUGCGGAAUUCCAGGUGUAGCGGUGAAAUGCGUAGAUAUCUGGAGGAACACCGGUGGCGAAGGCGGCAUCCUGGACCAACAUUGACGCUGAGGAGCGAAAGCCAGGGGAGCAAACGGG
rnacentral:rRNA from 1 species